rnacentral:lncRNA from 1 species
UGGGGACGCCUACGCGCAGGAGUAGCUCGUUGGAGCUAGUAAGGAGCUGCCUCCCACGCCACAGCCUUUCUAAAAAUAGACUUUCUUCCCUCCUACUUCGUCUUUUUUUUUUUUUUUUUUUUUGGGCCGCACCCCCAGCAAGUGGAGGUUCCCAGGCUAGGGGUCCAAUCGGAGCUGCAGCUGCUGGCCUACGCCACAGCCACGUGAGAUCCAAGCCGUGUCUGCGACCUACCCCACAGCUCACCGCAAGGCCGGAUCCUUAACCCACUGAUCAAGGCCAGGGAUGGAGCCCGCAACCUCAUGGUUCCUAGUCGGAUUCGUUAACCCCUGAGCCAUGACAACAACUCCCUCUUCCCGCCUAUCUAUGCUCCGGAGCUGAAUGUUCUCACUACAUAAUUACCUAGAACAGCCAGCACUUCAGCAGACUGGGGGGAAUUUGCCAGUUUAAAUGGCCCUAUGGAUGGCUACAAAAUAAAGAUAUAAAGCCUCCUGUGAUCCUGGUGACAGUAGCGGGAGGAGGAAAUAGGGUCCAGACUGGCAGCGGAGGAUGAGGAGGCUGCGGCCAGGAGUCCAGGAAGCAGCAGCAACUGGAGCUGAAGGAGGGGCCGAAGCCUGGGGACAGGCAGUGCACCUCUGCCGCAUCACAUUCACCGCUUUGCGGCUGUGGGUGGAGAGCCUUUUACACUGCACUGGAUACUCCCAUGUGUUCCCUUGAGCCAAAAGCCACCUAGAGGGCCCAAGGCCACCAGGGGCUCCUGCCCCAGGACUCUGGGAUGUGGGCACCACCUACUGGGCGUCAAGAAAGGAGUUUGCAAGAUGCAUGGGAGUGACUGAAGCCAGAGUGCAGGUGAAGAAACGAUGCGGCUCAGAUCUGGUGUGGCUGUGGUGUAGCCAGCAGUUGCAGAUCCAAUUUGAUCCCUAGCCUGGGAACUUCCAUAUGCCUAGGGUGCAGCCCUAAAAAGUGAAAGAAAAGAAAAGAAAAAGAAAUGCAGCUUGGAGAGGUUAAGUAAUUUGCCCAAUGUCUUGACUUUCUUAAAUUAACAUCUGCUAAGCGGAGGAUAGCAUGCCAGAUGGUGAGCCAAUGUUCAACAACAGUCCAUAAGAGAAAUUGAAAUAGAGUAGUUUAUUACUCACAGGUCCUGGAGAAAGUACCCAGGACACCUUAAGGGACCACAGGGGGAAGGCAAGGUAGGGUGCAGGCAGAGAGUGUCAGGACUUGGGACAUGCCUUUAUUAGGGUCUCUGAAUGGAGUACUUUGGGGUUCCCAGGCUAGGGUCAGACUGGUCAAUUUAAACCAAAAGAGUAGGGAUUUGGAUAAGCCCCACUGGGUCUUCUCUAAGGGGGCAAUAUUGCACACAGGCACUGGAAGCCAGGGAGACUGUAGAUCAAAGGGCUGCUGGGGAAGUCAUAUCAGGAACUUAGAUUUGCUUGUGACUCUAUCUGGGGCAUGUGCUUACAUCAGUUUAGGGUCCCCGAAAGUCCUGCAAAUAAAAUGGACGCUGAGGCAGCAA